UUUCUAAUAAUUUAUUGUUAGAAAUUGCAAGUGUAAUGAGAUUGGAACUUAGGACGUGUGCGUACCUAUACGUGAAUUUAACAAGAGGAUAAUGAUUGAUGUGAUGUGAUGUGAUGUUCGAAAUCGAAAAUGGUAGGAAAGCCCUUACCUUGAUUGAAAGAACUGCACUGCUUAAUUGAAGCACUAAGAAUGGCUAUCGAUGGCUAUUAGGCUUUGAAGCGAUCUAAUUAUAGAGUAUUUUGCCAAAAACUACAUAAUGACCAUUGUCUGAUGCCAUGAAAUGACCAUACAUUUUAGAAAUUGUACUAAUUGUCAAAUGUCAGAAUAAUUUAGAAGUCAUGUGUCAAGCAUUUGCCAAU